UAUUGGCAAUGGCUGAUAGUAAAGGCAGGGCAGGGUGAAAACCAAUAAGAAGGCUAGGAGAAGGCUUGCUAGCGUGCGGUUCCUCGUUAGUAUAGUGGUGCACCUGAUUGCGAAAUUCAGCCGCAUGGGGGUUUCUUCUGACUCAGAGAUUCCAGCCCUACUUACAUUUUUCCUGCUAAGUAGCCAGUGGUAUUUCAUCAAAGGGCAGUCCGUGUGACCUGAAGCUAACCAGAUCAGAGGUUCCUUAAUGCCACAAUUCGGAGGUGACCAUGUGAGCCAGGUUGGUCUAAUCGGAGUGAAUCCUGGGACAUGACAGAAGCUGAUGGAGAGAAACACAGGUCAUAAGUCCAGAACUGUCGGCAGCCUUCUGUCUUCAUGCUGUGCCUGAGAAUGAAGCCAAACUGAAGAGAGGGAGAAAGGAAGGAGAGUGAGAAAGCCGACUGGAGACAUUGAGCCUCUGGGUCAAACCCCACCUAAAUUCAAGAUACACUUUUGGACUUGAUGAGCUUCCCUUUUUCAGCUUACUCUAGAUGAAAUUUUCACUCAUUUGCUACCAUAGGAAUACUAACCAGUAGAUGUAUAUAUAUAUAUUCUACCAUGUAUCUAGAGCUAUUUGACAAUACCAGUGUGAGCUAGAC